GAUAAGGUGGCAUCAUCUAUAAGAAGGGAAGGCCUCUAUUCACUGGCGAUAAUGAAAUUUUUAUGCGACAAAAAGAUAUAAUAACACUAGUGAGGAAGAGUGUUUUGUGCGACAAAAAGAAAGGAGGGGCGUGCUUCAUCUUGGUGCUGAUUUCUUGGUGUGAAGAUCCUAUCCAGGGAGUUUCUCAAGCAUGAGAUCAGAUCUCCUUCCUCUCUUUGCUUUUCUCUCAAGAAUUGAUGUGCAAGAUCUUCAUCCUUCUUUCCUACGGUGCCUGGUGUGCAUGCGAAAUAGAGGAUCUGCACAUCCAGAUCUCGUGAGGCAACUGGCUCAAAAAAUUUGAGCAUCUUGAUCUCAAU
rnacentral:lncRNA from 1 species